GACGAACGCUGGCGGCGUGCUUAACACAUGCAAGUCGAACGCUGAAGCUCAGCUUUUGUUGGGUGGAUGAGUGGCGAACGGGUGAGUAACACGUGAGUAACCUGCCCCCUUCUUUGGGAUAACGCCCGGAAACGGGUGCUAAUACUGGAUAUUCACUGGUCUUCGCAUGGGGGUUGGUGGAAAGGGUUUUUCUGGUGGGGGAUGGGCUCGCGGCCUAUCAGCUUGUUGGUGGGGUGAUGGCCUACCAAGGCUUUGACGGGUAGCCGGCCUGAGAGGGUGACCGGUCACAUUGGGACUGAGAUACGGCCCAGACUCCUACGGGAGGCAGAAGUGGGGAAUAUUGCACAAUGGGCGCAAGCGUGAUGCAGCGACGCCGCGUGAGGGAUGGAGGCCUUCGGGUUGUGAACCUCUUUCGCUCAUGGUCAAGCCGCAACAAUGGUUGUGGUGAGGGUAGUGGGUAAAGAAGCGCCGGCUAACUACGUG
rnacentral:rRNA from 1 species